GAAAGCCGGAUGCGGGAAAUCCGCACGUCCGGUUUGACGAGGGGGAGGGACUUCAGUCCCUCCCUACUCUAC
rnacentral:ncRNA from 1 species